rnacentral:rRNA from 1 species
AAGGGCACCACAAGAACGCGUGGAGCAUGUGGCUUAAUUUGACUCAACGCGGGAAAUCUUACUGGGUCCGGACACGCUGAGGAUUGACAGGUGAAUUUGUUUAACGUUUAAAUUUGUAAAUUCCCAUUUAUAAGUUUAAUGUUUAACUUUAAAUAUGCAAGUUCUUUCAUGAUUGUGUGAUAGGUGGUGCAUGGCCGUUCUUAGUUCGUGGAGUGAUCUGUCUGCUUAAUUGCGUUUCAUAAUCGGAUUUUACUAAACUGCUAUUGUUUGAAAAAUUGUCCAUUGAUAAAUAUCAAUUUUUAAUCAUAUUUUUUAAUCCUCUUAUUUAAUAAUUUAUCAUUUUCUUCUGAAGAAUUUAUAAUUUUAUUACUAUAAUGAUUUUUAAAUUUUAAUCAUUGCUCUAUUUCUUCAAUCAAUUUUUUUUAUUUACAUUAGCAAAGUAAUAAGUCCUGAAGGCAACGAACGUGACCGCAGCCCCUUGUUGCCNUUCCCAAUUUUUUUUAUUAUUAAUCAGUCUAGUAAUAAAAUUACAUAUUAUGUAGAUUAACGAAGAAUUCGUUAUUUUUAUGUAUUGUGUUUUUUUCUUGUUACUUGUAUUGAGUGAAGGAGAAACUAGGGGGACCGCUGCGCAAAUUUUUUAACCAGAGGAAGGAUGCGGCAAUAACAGGUCUGUGAUGCCCUUAGAUGUUCCAGGCUGCACACGUGCUACAAUGAUUAUUGCAGUGAGCGUCUUAAAAAGUUCGUGUGCAGACAUAUUAAAUACAUAGUGUAGUAUUUGUAUUCUAUGUACUUUGUAUGUAGUUUACGUUGCUAUGUUAUCGCUCAUUUAAAAUGUUUUUGCAUAUUAAACGACUAGCCUGCUUCGAAAGUAAGUAGGUAAUCAAUUGGAAGUAAUGAUUUCCGCAAUGCACGAUAUAUAUGCUCUUUUGAGGUGCAUAGCUGUUCCACGUAUUCUUUUUUCGGAAUUAAUAUGUGAAAACACUAUGUAUUUCUAAAAAUCUUGUUUUUAAAACUUUAUUUUUUCCUCAAUUAGACAUGUGCUUUUUUUAUAAAUUCGUGGUGGGGACAGACCAUUGAUAAUUGUUGGUCUCGGUCUUAACUAGGAAUGCCUUGUACGGGUCUUUGGUUCAACAGACCACCCGGAAUACGUCCCUGCCCUUUGUACACACCGCCCGUCGCUCUUACCGAUGGACUUCAAUGUGAGAUUGAGGGACUGGAAUAUUUUUUCUAUAGAAACUCCAUCGAACAGUGUGGUCUAAAGGAAAGAGAAGUCGAACAAGGCA